GUGACGGUGGCCGAGUGGUUAGGUGAUGGAUUGCAAAUCCAUUUACGGCGGUUCGAUUCCGCCUCGUCAUUCCA
rnacentral:tRNA from 2 species